AUGAUGUUAGUAAGCACCAGAUUUGUUAUCGGAGUUACUUUUAGCGGUGACUUAUGGAGGCACAAGGUUGUUGUUAGUGAUGGUGGAACUGAUGAUGCCAAAAAAGGGGUGAUGCUUUUACUCUUGCAUUUUCUGAGCUAUCUUGCUGGAAGAUGGUUCAUGGAUCCAUUGUUGAAAGUAACUAUUCACUACAAAAAAGAAGCUUAG